rnacentral:rRNA from 1 species
GACAGAGGGGCAAGCGUUGCUCGGAAUUACUGGGCGUAAAGGGUGCGUAGGCGGGUCUUUAAGUCAGGGGUGAAAUCCUGGAGCUCAACUCCAGAACUGCCUUUGAUACUGAGGAUCUUGAGUACGGGAGAGGUGAGUGGAACUGCGAGUGUAGAGGUGAAAUUCGUAGAUAUUCGCAAAGAACACCAGUGGCGAAGGCGGCUCACUGGCCCGUUACUGACGCUGAGGCACGAAAGCGUGGGGAGCAAACAGG